rnacentral:rRNA from 1 species
GACGAACGCUGGGGCGUGCCUAAUACAUGCAAGUAGAACGCUGAGGGAGGAGCUUGCUUCUCUGGGGAGUUGCGAACGGGUGAGUAACGCGUAGGUAACCUGCCUGGUAGCGGGGGAUAACUAUUGGAAACGAUAGCUAAUACCGCAUAAUAGCAGUUGUUGCAUGACAGCUGUUUGAAAGGUGCAAGAGCAUCACUACCAGAUGGACCUGCGUUGUAUUAGCUAGUUGGUGAGGUAACGGCUCACCAAGGCAACGAUACAUAGCCGACCUGAGAGGGUGAUCGGCCACACUGGGACUGAGACACGGCCCAGACUCCUACGGGAGGCAGCAGUAGGGAAUCUUCGGCAAUGGGGGAAACCCUGACCGAGCAACGCCGCGUGAGUGAAGAAGGUUUUCGGAUCGUAAAGCUCUGUUGUUAAGGAAGAACGUGUGUGAGAGUGGAAAGUUCACACAGUGACGGUACUUAACCAGAAAGGGAUGGCUAACUACGUGCCAGCAGCCGCGGUAAUACGUAGGUCUCGAGCGUUGUCCGGAUUUAUUGGGCGUAAAGCGAGCGCAGGCGGUUAGAUAAGUCUGAAGUUAAAGGCUGUGGCUUAACCAUAGUACGCUUUGGAAACUGUUUAACUUGAGUGCAAGAGGGGAGAGUGGAAUUCCAUGUGUAGCGGUGAAAUGCGUAGAUAUAUGGAGGAACACCGGUGGCGAAAGCGGCUCUCUAGCUUGUAACUGACGCUGAGGCUCGAAAGCGUGGGGAGCAAACAGG